AGGCUGUAAACGUGUUUUUUUCUUGCUGUAAAGUUGGGCAUUUUAACCUGGGGAGUCUAUGGAAACUGACUCCUUUUGCAGCCAGCCUCAAGCGGCCAGUCGAUGAAUUGCAGUUUUAGUCGCUUCCUUAUUGGCCUCACUAGAGAGAGCGGGAGGUUGAUGCUCAAUCUGAACACACGCAGAUGUUGCAGAAUCAAUCAGUUACUCAGAACGUUUACUCAAUUCUGACAGUGCAUUUUAAUAGAGCUGCAUUUCCCAAGAGUAGCCUAAAAUAAGAAAACAUUGAAGGUAUUUGGGAAUAGCAGCCCAGAACAAUGUAGAAAAAACAUACAUGUUUGAGUUAUUUCACAAUAAACAUGUUGAAAUUGUACCCUAGUUUGUGAAGUACAUUUAUUAAAUUUGAAUGUUAAAAAGUUAAUAUUGCUCACGUUCUGUUCUGUACUGUUAAUAUAAAUCGUACACUCUCCAAAUAAAAAGGUUGCGUUUUAAUGCAUGCAAUAGCCUAAUACUUGUAGGACCUUGGUGAACAAACACACGAAUAUAGGCUACUGCACAAAUGGCUACACCAUUAAUGAUUAGCUAAAGGGGAACAAUGCUUAGACUGUGUGGACCUGUAUCCUGUCAAGGAAAAAAAUUGCUAAAACCCAAUGUCAGCAUUAAGAGAAGUGAUAAUGUGAUUCCACAACAGAGGACGUUUGUUCCAAAUACCCCCGCUCAUCAGAAAAACUAAUCAUGAGGUAGUCCAUACAGAUGAUUAGAAACAAAGGAUCCAUACAGCCUGUCCCAUGACUCAGCUUCUUGCUUGCUUGUGAAUCUUUCUACUGACUGAACUUUUCAAUAAACAAUCUCAAAAGACAAUCAUUGAGAAAUCUAAAGGGUUAAUUAUAUUCAGAAAUAACAAAUGCUAUGCCUUAUGUGUGUUUGAUAUGCUUAUUGGAAAUUAUGGCAUCUUAAUCGAUGCAUUACGCAUUUGUUUUCUAUGCCUUAGUGUAAGCAUUAUUUUAGUUGGUAAGGUUACUAAUCUUUGUGUGAGAAAGAUGUAUUUUAUUUAUUUAUUCUUUAUUUGACAGGGACAAUGGAAAAUAAAGUAUUACCCCAGAAUUAGUUACAGAGCUAAAUUUCAUCUGCAGUCCCUGGGCAGGAGUAAACCAAAUUCUCAAUAAAAAUACCAUACAAAUGAAUCACAAUAGAAUACAAGAAGUAUAAAAACAUCUUCAAAAAUCAUUACCUUGUAUAAUCAAUGAUCACAAACCUGACUUGCCUUUAAAAAUCUUUUCAAAUGUAAUUUAAGAGGGCUUUUACACUGGGCUCGUUUGCUGCGGUCCGAGCCCAAGCGUGAUUGUUCCCAGCGCUGCCCGCAGCGUUGGUCUGCUUUCACACUCAAUAGUUGUAUCGAAUCCUGGUGCGUUUGCAGUCACCUUACGUCAUUGCAAACACACAGGGAAAAUGCCUGGUGAACACAACGCGACGGAGCAUAGCUGUAAUUUUUUUGUUAUUUUGGUGCUAUUAUGAAGAGCAUAAUAAUUAAGUGCAAUCCUCUUCUGGCUCUCAAUGAAGGCGGUCGCAUUUUCUUUCCCUCUCCUCUCCCUUACCUUCCUGCUUUGCUCCUCUUGUCUCGUAUACUCUGAGAGAAUCCCUCCACACAGCACUCCAACUAAAAGGGAAAAAGCUCACAGCUUUGGAAAAGCAAUUGGAUCGAUCGGAGACCAGAAAUGGACAAAGACAGUAGCCAUGGAAUUGGAAUAUGUUUGUAUAACAAGGAACGUCUGCUGCAGGGGGGUCCGGUGGAUGGUCAGAGUUUCAUCCAGAGACCAUCUUGGGUGAGGAUGAAUGCGAGGAAGUAAUUACAUUCAUUGAGCCAUUCUUCUGAUAAAGAAACCAUCAAGUAGAAAAGGAAAUGGACAUUUCAUUAUCGCCGCAACAUGGUUCUUGAGCCCAUGCAGUCAAGUGAUAUAUUGUCUUUCCUCCAUUCAAAGACAUUAAAAGCUUGAUUGCGCAAGACUUUGUUCUGAUGUUUGGAAGAAGGAGUUUCAGGCAAGCUAUUGGAGAAGUGGACCACUGAAUUCAAGAAAAAAAGUGAUUCAGCAGUGCAAAAAGCUUCCAAGCACCAGUGAUUUUGGAAGAACUACUGCUAGCAUCUGACUCUCCUACUGGUGACUCAGAAUAAUUUUGCUGAAAAGUUGCUGGGUUAAGUCAGUAUGCUAUAAGUGGUUUUGUUUCAUCUAUGGAGGCAAUAGAUUUUAGAUUCACAGUCAGGCCCAGGAUCACACAGAAGGCAACCCGGCAAUGUUCUGGCAAUUUUCCGGGUCUGACGAGCAGUGUGAAAGGGGCUAUUGACUCGUGGUCCAGGGAAGGUGGUGGAACUCUGUGGACUUAAAGGUGGCAUGGAGAUGGCUUCCAAAUUAGGAGUGGACAUGUCAGAACAUGCCUAUUCUGUAAAGCAGUGGUUUUCAACCUGUGGUAUUUCAGGUGGGCCGCCAAUUACUAAUAAAAUAAAUAAUAAUAUAUUUAAUAUAUAUAUAAUUAAAUAACAAAAAAUGAUUUCUAAAUCGCUUUAUAGCAUGAUUUUCCGUGGCCCUGACCUCCCGCAGUAUGCUAUCUGAUCCAAUCAGAAUGCAUUGCGCCAAGCGCUGGAACAGAACAGACUGGACAUAUGCCUAACUCCAUGUUCCCACACUGUCUGUGAUGCGCCUUUUUUCCUAGCCCAUGUUAACAGAGCGUUCACAGCGCACGCGGUAAAAGGCUAGAAAUAAAAACGUGCGAAAAUAAUUAAUAUCCAGCACAUGAGCAUAUAGAGAGUUGUGAGUGUACAGGACACAGUUUGAGUGAGAGGAGACACGUUUUAAGUGCUUGCACUCUCUGCGGGCGAGAUCAGCGUGUAUCUGAGCAAGCACAUCUGGUUUUGUGACAGAGCAAAGGAAAUCUGCGUGCGAACAGAGAGAUUCGCGCUCGUGCAUUAUUUUAAUGUGCUUCCGCGUUACUAUCACGCGCUCUCUCUACUGCUUCUGCACCGCUCACACAUACUGUAAACACACUGCAGACGGAGUAGGCCUACGUGUGAACCCAGUGUUCAAAUUGUGUCAAAGCUCUUGGGGAACCCCCCCAACCCACCCAAAAAAACAACAACAACAACAAAAAACUAAUAUAUAUUUGUAUUUAUUUCAUAUAAUAAUAUAAUUUAAUUUAGUUGUGAAUUUCAUUUACUUUGUGUUUCAGAACAUGUUUUUGCAGCUGAGUAUUUACUAUAUGUAAAAUUAAAUUAAAAUCUAUAUAUUUUAAGUGCACAUGUAGGCAUUUUAUUUCAUAAAAAAAAAAGAAUUUAACUUGAAUCUAGUUAUAUAACCCUUUCAUAUUUUCAAGCGGAAGUUGACAUAGUUGGGUAAACUUCUAUAGGAGUGAAUGAGAGACUACAUUAAAUAUAUGUUUUGUCACAAUAGUGUUUCUAAGAGGGAAAUAUAGAAAGAAUUUAAUACGAUUACGAUGCUGAUGACCAUUAAUCAAUUUCGAUCUCUUGAUUCACUAUCAAUUCACAUGAAUAGGCCUACUGUACUUACUUUUCUUGGGUUAAAUUCAGUAUUUUCUUGCAUGAAUUAAUAUUCAAUUGUGUGUGCUCAUAGGAGUAUCUUUUUAAAAUGUAUCAUUUGAAAAUGUAGUGUUUGAUCAUGUCUAAAUAUUUAUUCAAAUGCAAAACUUAAAAAAUAAAUAAGCAAUUAGGACCUGCAAUACUCUUUUGAGCAACUAGACUAGAUACAUGUAUAUUUAUUGUGAGAGUGAGAAUGGAAUUGCAAAUGGAAAUUAUUAUUUUUCUGGCCACAAAAUGACUUUAAUUUGCCUCUUUGCAUUGAAUUUAAAACCCUUUUCUCCAUUUAACCUUUAAUACUACACUAGUUGUAUUAGGCUAUACAUAAUAACGGAAAAUAGGAUACAAUUCAUAACAAAAACAGUUGAUCUGCAUGCUUGUCUUUGGCGUAAUAAUCAAUGUGUCUCACGCACAAUUUGUUAGCAACCUUGCUUUGUCAUCGUUGACACAAAAACAAGCCUUCACCUGAUGAACAUGUCCAUCAGUAAUAAUGUCCUUAAUUAAAUUAAAGGAACACUCCGACUCUGAGUAACGUUAGCUGUGCUCCUACGCCUAGUGAGAAUAUAGUU